UGCAACCCUGGAGGCUGAAGUCCUGUAUUUAGCUUUAGAACAGGUGCAGCAGCAGUAUUGCAAGCUUUUACCCAGCCCUCCCACUAGUUUCAUCAUCCCUCACAGAUGGGAACACCUUCAGAGUGAGAGUUGUCCUGUUUCCAUGCUUUGUUGUAUUUGACAAU
ensembl:misc_RNA